rnacentral:rRNA from 1 species
UGAGUAACACGUGCUUAAUCUACCUCUUAGAUUGGAAUACCUAAUGGAAACAUUGGUUAAUGCCGGAUACGCAUGGAGUCGCAUGACUCCGUUGUGAAAGGGGCCUUUAAAGCUCCACUAAGAGAUGAGGGUGCGGAACAUUAGCUAGUUGGUGAGGUAACGGCCCACCAAGGCUAUGAUGUUUAGCCGGGCCGAGAGACUGAACGGCCACAUUGGGACUGAGAUACGGCCCAA